GAUGAACGCUGGCGGCGUGCCUAAUACAUGCAAGUCGAGCGAACAGAUAAGGAGCUUGCUCCUUUGACGUUAGCGGCGGACGGGUGAGUAACACGUGGGUAACCUACCUAUAAGACUGGGAUAACUUCGGGAAACCGGAGCUAAUACCGGAUAACAUUUGGAACCGCAUGGUUCUAAAGUGAAAGAUGGUUUUGCUAUCACUUAUAGAUGGAUCCGCGCCGUAUUAGCUAGUUGGUAAGGUAACGGCUUACCAAGGCAACGAUACGUAGCCGACCUGAGAGGGUGGUCGGCCACACCAGAACGGAAACACGGUCCAGACCACAACGGUAGGCAGCAGUAGAGAAUCGACCGCUAUGGGCGGAAGCCUGACGGAGCAACGCCGCGUGAGUGAUGAAGGGUUUCGGCUCUGAAAACUCUGUUAUUAGGGAAGAACAAACGUGUAAGUAACUGGGCACGUCUUGACGGUACCUAAUCAGAAAGCCACGGCUAACUACGUG
rnacentral:rRNA from 1 species